rnacentral:rRNA from 1 species
GGGAGCCUGAGAGAUGGCUACCAGGACCAAGGUCAGCAGCAGGCGCGAAAAUUAUCGAAGCCCGCCCAGGGGCGAUAGUGAGGAGACGUGUAUACGAAGUACGUGUAAAGACCGUACUAAUAACUGGAGGUCAAGUCUGGUGCCAGCAUCCGCGGUAAUUCCAGCUCCAGGGGUGUCUAUGAUGAUUGCUGCGAUUAAAAAGUCCGUAGUCGAGCUGACUGACUGACCUGCAAUGUGAUUGAUUAAAAGACGAGCAGGGUUAGGAAAGCAGAGAAUUAGGAGCGACCGAGGGCUAGAGUAUUGAAUGGCGAGAGGUGAAAUUUGAUGACCCAUUCAGGAGUGACAAAGGCGAAGGCACUAGUCAAGGGCGAAUCCGAUGAUCAAGGACGUAGGCUAGAGUUUCGAAAACGAUUAGAGACCGGAGUAGUUCUAGCAGUAAACUAUGCCGACACCGUGGUAUUAAAUUUUAGUAUUGCGGAAGAGAAAUCAAGUAAGGCUUUGGGGAGAGUACGCGCGCAAGCGAUAAAUUUAAAGGAAAUUGACGGAGGAACACCACAAGGAGUGGAGUGUGCGGCUUAAUUUGACUCAACGCGGGACAGCUUACCAGGCCCGAUAAUCGAGCGAGCGUAGUACGCGAUAGGUUAAAGAGUGGUGCAUGGCUGCUAUCGACAGUUGGGGUGACCUUAGGGUUAAUUCCGGCAAGUAGUGAGACCCCUGCAGAUAGUGGACAGGUAUUUUUAAGAUACAGGAAGGAAGGGACAAGAGCAGGUCAGUGAUGCCCUUAGAUGGCCUGGGCUGCACGCGCACUACAGUGGUCAUUAUAAGUAGAAAGUAGAUAUAAAGAUGAUCGAGAGGGACUGAGCUUUGUAAAAGGCUCACGAACGAGGAAUUGCUAGUAAUCGUAGGCUCAUUAAGAUACGAUGAAUAUGUCCCUGUACCUUCAACACACCGCCCGUCGUUAUCGAAGAUGGAAUUGUGUGCGAACGAGCAUUAAGCGAGGAGCGC